AUGAACCCUAGAUCAAAACCCGAUUCGGCGACGGUGUUGUCCUCCUAUCCAGAUUCUGGUGGCCUUGGGUGUGGCUAUGUGAUGAAUAGAUGGGGCUUCGCAGUGGGUUCGGUAUCAAUGGCGCUUGGAGAUGGUGUCGCGGAUGAGAGAUCGAGUCCCAGAGGUCUGGGUUUUGUGUCGUGGUUGAGUUGUCGCUGGUGGAGUGGAGGGUUGUUGCGGGAGACACAGUUCCGGGGGAUGCAGGAAGUGCGGCGGAAAAGAGAGGUGUUCAUAAAAAGGGAAGGGACAAAAGAGAGCUUAGAAAGGGAAGGGACAAAAGAGAGCUUAGAAAGUGACCAGGAAUUUACUUCGAUCAAAAGUUUUCUACAUGUUGGUAUAAAGUGA